AUUGAACGCUGGCGGAAUGCUUUACACAUGCAAGUCGAACGGCAGCACGGACUUCGGUCUGGUGGCGAGUGGCGAACGGGUGAGUAAUAUAUCGGAACGUGCCCAGUCGUGGGGGAUAACGUAGUGAAAAUUACGCUAAUACCGCAUACGAUCUAAGGAUGAAAGCGGGGGAUCGCAAGACCUCGCGCGAUUGGAGCGGCCGAUAUCAGAUUAGGUAGUUGGUGGGGUAAAGGCUCACCAAGCCAACGAUCUGUAGCUGGUCUGAGAGGACGACCAGCCACACUGGAACUGAGACACGGUCCAGACUCCUACGGGAGGCAGCAGUGGGGAAUUUUGGACAAUGGACGCAAGUCUGAUCCAGCCAUUCCGCGUGCAGGACGAAGGCCUUCGGGUUGUAAACUGCUUUUGUACAGAACGAAAAGGUUUCUAUUAAUACUAGGAGCUCAUGACGGUACUGUAAGAAUAAGCACCGGCUAACUACGUG
rnacentral:rRNA from 1 species